rnacentral:rRNA from 1 species
AGUGAACGCUGGCGGUAGGCCUAACACAUGCAAGUCGAACGGCAGCACAGUAAGAGCUUGCUCUUACGGGUGGCGAGUGGCGGACGGGUGAGGAAUACAUCGGAAUCUACUUUUUCGUGGGGGAUAACGUAGGGCCACUUACGCUAAUACCGCAUACGACCUACGGGUGAAAGCAGGGGAUCUUCGGACCUUGCGCGAUUGAAUGAGCCGAUGUCGGAUUAGCUAGUUGGCGGGGUAAAGGCCCACCAAGGCGACGAUCCGUAGCUGGUCUGAGAGGAUGAGCAGCCACACUGGAACGGAGACACGGUCCAGACUCCUACGGGAGGCAGCAGUGGGGAAUAUUGGACAAUGGGCGCAAGCCUGAUCCAGCCAUACCGCGUGGGUGAAGAAGGCCUUCGGGUUGUAAAGCCCUUUUGUUGGGAAAGAAAAGCAGCAGGUUAAUACCCCGCUGUUCUGACGGUACCCAAAGAAUAAGCACCGGCUAACUUCGUG